rnacentral:rRNA from 1 species
CAACGAAUAUUCCGCAAUGCACGAAAGUGUGACGGAGCGACGCCGCGUGUAGGAUGAAGCCCCUCGGGGUGUAAACUACUGUCAGGGUUAAACAAACGAUACGGGUGAAUAAUCCGUAAAGGUGAGUUAUCCCAGAGGAAGCCACGGCUAACUCUGUGCCAGCAGCCGCGGUAAGACAGAGGUGGCAAGCGUUGUUCAGAAUCACUGGGCGUAAAGCGCGUGUAGGUGGUUCUGUAAGUAGGGCGUGAAAGCUCCUGGCUCAACUGGGAGAGGCCGUUCUAAACUGGGGAGCUAGAGGAUGGUAGAGGGGGGUGGAAUUCCGGGUGUAGCGGUGGAAUGCGCAGAUAUCCGGAGGAACACCAGUGGCGAAAGCGGCCUCCUGGACCAUUCCUGACACUCAGGCGCGAAAGCUAGGGUAGCAAACG